UCUCCUGUAGCUCAGUGUGGUAGAGCAUCCAACUGGUAUGCGGAAGGUCAUAGGUUCGACUCCUGUUGGGAGAA